AAGUCGAGGGGAAACGAUAGAGAAAGCUUGCUUUUUCUAGGCGUCGACCGGCGCACGGGUGAGUAACGCGUAUCCAACCUGCCCACCACUUGGGAAUAACCUUGCGAAAGUAAGACUAAUACCCAAUGAUAUCUCUAAAAGACAUCUGAAGGAGAUUAAAGAUUUAUCGGUGAUGGAUGGGGAUGCGUCUGAUUAGCUUGUUGGCGGGGUAACGGCCCACCAAGGCGACGAUCAGUAGGGGUUCUGAGAGGAAGGUCCCCCACAUUGGAACUGAGACACGGUCCAAACUCCUACGGGAGGCAGCAGUGAGGAAUAUUGGUCAAUGGGCGAGAGCCUGAACCAGCCAAGUAGCGUGCAGGAUGACGGCCCUAUGGGUUGUAAACUGCUUUUAUAAGGGAAUAAAGUGGGAGUCGUGACUCCUUUUGCAUGUACCUUAUGAAUAAGGACCGGCUAAUUCCGUGCCAGCAGCCGCGGUAAUACGGAAGGUCCGGGCGUUAUCCGGAUUUAUUGGGUUUAAAGGGAGCGUAGGCCGGAGAUUAAGCGUGUUGUGAAAUGUAGACGCUCAACGUCUGCACUGCAGCGCGAACUGGUUUCCUUGAGUACGCACAAAGUGGGCGGAAUUCGUGGUGUAGCGGUGAAAUGCUUAGAUAUCACGAAGAACUCCGAUUGCGAAGGCAGCUCACUGGAGCGCAACUGACGCUGAAGCUCGAAAGUGCGGGUAUCGAACAGGAUUAGAUACCCUGGUAGUCCGCACGGUAAACGAUGGAUGCCCGCUGUUGGUCUGAAUAGGUCAGCGGCCAAGCGAAAGCAUUAAGCAUCCCACCUGGGGAGUACGCCGGCAA
rnacentral:rRNA from 1 species